rnacentral:tRNA from 2 species
GGAGGAGUGGCCGAGUGGUUUAAGGCGGCAGUCUUGAAAACUGUUUGGCGGCAACGUCACGGGGGUUCGAAUCCCUCCUCCUCCGCCA